CUGCGUACCUUUUGUAUAAUGGGUCAGCGACUUACGUUAUGUUGCGAGCUUAACCGAAUAGGGGAGGCGUAGCGAAAGCGAGUCUGAUAAGGGCGUUGAGUAGCAUGGCGUAGACCCCGAAACCGGAUGAUCUAUCCAUGGCCAGGAUGAAGGUGCCGUAACAGGUACUGGAGGUCCGAACCCACUAGUGUUGAAAAACUAGGGGAUGAGCUGUGGAUAGGGGUGAAAGGCUAAACAAAUCCGGAAAUAGCUGGUUCUCCCCGAAAACUAUUUAGGUAGUGCGUCAUGUAUCACUUGCGGGGGUAAAGCACUGUUAUGGCUAGGGGGUCAUCGCGACUUACCAAACCAUGGCAAACUCUGAAUACCGCAAAGUGCGAGCAUGGCAGACAGACAGUGGGUGCUAACGUUCAUUGUCGAGAGGGAAAC
rnacentral:rRNA from 1 species